rnacentral:rRNA from 1 species
CUACCCUUGACAUGUCAAGAAUUUCGCAGAGAUGUGGAAGUGCUCGAAAGAGAGCUUGAACACAGGUGCUGCAUGGCCGUCGUCAGCUCGUGUCGUGAGAUGUUGGGUUAAGUCCCGCAACGAGCGCAACCCUUGUCAUUAGUUGCUACGAAAGGGCACUCUAAUGAGACUGCCGGUGACAAACCGGAGGAAGGUGGGGAUGACGUCAGGUCCUCAUGGCCCUUAUGGGUAGGGCUACACACGUCAUACAAUGGCCGGUACAGAGGGCUGCCAACCCGCGAGGGGGAGCCAAUCCCAGAAAACCGGUCGUAGUCCGGAUCGCAGUCUGCAACUCGACUGCGUGAAGUCGGAAUCGCUAGUAAUCGCGGAUCAGCUUGCCGCGGUGAAUACGUUCCC